ACGGGAGGCAGCAGUGGGGCAUAUUGCACAAUGGGGGAAACCCUGAUGCAGCAACGCCGCGUGAGUGAAGAAGUAUUUCGGUAUGUAAAGCUCUAUCAGCAGGGAAGAAAAUGACGGUACCUGACUAAGAAGCCCCGGCUAACUACGUGCCAGCAGCCGCGGUAAUACGUAGGGGGCAAGCGUUAUCCGGAUUUACUGGGUGUAAAGGGAGCGUAGACGGCGAUGCAAGUCUGAUGGGAAAGCCCGGGGCUCAACCCCGGCACUUCAUUGGAAACUGUGUUGCUAGAGUGCAGGAGAGGUAAGUGGAAUUCCUAGUGUAGCGGUGAAAUACGUAGAUAUUAGGAGGAACACCAGAGGCGAAGGCGGCUUACUGGACUGUAACUGACGUUGAGGCUCGAAAGCGUGGGGAGCAAACAGGAUUAGAUACCCUGGUA
rnacentral:rRNA from 1 species